UACAGAGGGUGCAAGCGUUAAUCGGAAUUACUGGGCGUAAAGCGUGCGUAGACGGUUAUGUAAGUCAGGUGUGAAAGCCCCGGGCUCAACCUGGGAAUUGGCAUUGAGACUGCAUAGCUAGGGUGCGGAAGAGGGAAGCGGAAUUCCGGUGUAGCGGUGUAAAUGCGUAGAUAUCGGAAGGAACACCAGUGGCGAAAGCG
rnacentral:rRNA from 1 species